UAAAACACAAGUAAAAUAGAUUUAGAGGAUUCUUAUGGGCCCUACUAUUUUCAAAAUAGUAAAUGGAUGUUGCCUUCAGGUCACCAGCUGCAUUAGAUGCUACAAGAACGUCAGCCUGUCCUUUGAAGCUUUGAACCCAAGACAUUGACUUUUCCUCUCUGGCUAUGAAAGUUCUAGAUGGUAUCUUCAUUUUCUUCUGUGGUCUCUGCUUUUUGGAUAUCACCAGAACUGGGGAUCAGCCAGAUCACUUGUAUGCACAAAGCUGCUGUGGAUCUGUCUUUCAAACAAGAGCUGCAGAAAACGCUAUAGCAAGAUUGAAGCUUUAUCCACUCUGGUAAGAGAAGCUUUCUUUUCCUUUGCUAUGGUGAGAGUUUGAUAAGAAAUCUUUUUAAACCGUAAUGUGGUCAGGGAGAGGAGACUCUGUUAUAUAAGUCAGAAAAUGUUUUUUCUUUGAAAUAUUUUUUUCACUAUGCUUUGUGCCUUUAUGUUAUAGCAAGAUAAAACUGAAACACUAAGUCAUAUUGCACAUGUUAAAUUUGUCUUGGACAUAGGGGAGUCUUAAACUACUCUUCUGUUGAGUGAAAUGUGAGGUCAUUUUAUGUUCAUACUGUAGAUCUCCUGGACAGCACGAAGUGAAGAAAGAUUGGUAUUCUAAUACCAUGGCUGAGAGUGAAUCUUGUGUUUAACUUUUCCCCUGACCAAUGGUGUUAUUAAUUCCCAGGAGCUCACCACCACCAAACUCGGCCUUUGGAUUCACUUGCAUAUUUUUUUGACCACUCUAAUCUCUUUCUAUAUUUAAAAUUGGAAAAGCUGGGGAUUAUUCUGGAUGAGUUUAUUUGAAUAGUUUUCUCACUUUAGCUCUAAAGACUGUAACUGUGCACAUAUAUACAAAGUACAAAAUUUUGUUUUUCAUGUAAUUUCUUCAGCCUGUAAUGUGCUUCAACAUUUGUAUGAGAAUCUCUACGUAUUAUAAACUAUCUGAAUUCAUAUCAGUCUAAAAUGACAAUAAAUAUUGAGAGCAUAUACAAGUAUAUAAAUAUGUACAUGUAUAUAAGUAACAUUUGACAUGAAGAAAAUUAAUUUUAGAUAAUUACACAUUUGCAUAUUAAAGCAAUGUAAUCCCUAUGGAAAUUUAUAGCUUUUAAUUUUCAUUUAUAUGACCC
rnacentral:lncRNA from 1 species